rnacentral:rRNA from 1 species
CGAAGGGGGCAAGCGUUGCUCGGAUUUAUUGGGCGUAAAGGGUGUGUAGGUGGCUUUGUAAGUUAGAUGUGAAAGCCCAGGGCUUAACCCUGGAACUGCAUUUAAGACUGCGAGGCUUGAAGUUCGAAGAGGUAGGCAGAAUUCCCAGUGUAGAGGUGAAAUUCGUAGAUAUUGGGAAGAAUACCAAUGGCGUAGGCAGCUUACUGGUCGAAUCUUGACACUGAGGCACGAAAGCGUGGGGAGCAAACAGGAUUAGAUACCCUGGUAGUCCACGCCCUAAACGAUGUGUGCUCGCUAUCGGCAUGUUUACAUGUCGGUGGCCAAGUUAACGCGUUAAGCACACCGCCUGGGGAUUACGAUCGCAAGAUUA